rnacentral:tmRNA from 1 species
GACCGGAUUUGACAGCGGGUCGGAGCCAUGUGUAAGCACGCAGUGCGCCCGGGAGUGGGCACUUUAAUCUCGGCUUCCAAAAAAUUUAACUGGCGAAAACAAUUUUGCUCUCGCUGCUUAGUCGAAGUAUAGUAGACAAGCUUUAUCUCGGCACAAGGUGCUGAGACGAGACAUCGCCUUGGGUGCUCUUGUCCCGAAGCUACCCUGUCAAGGCGGUGCAGCAAUAUCGGGAAUAGCAGGGUAAGGCCUCGAUUGCCCUGCGAAGCUUUUAGAGGCUAAGGUGCAGGUUGGUGGCAUCGGUCUUGCCUGCGCACGAAAAGCUAAGCGAUGAUAAGCGUGUAGAAAGCCCAUCGUUUCCCCGUUUGGACGAGGGUUCAACUCCCUCCUGGUCCAC